AUUAUGUACCUACUUAAUUUGUUAUGAAAGGUUUUCAGGAUCCUCUCUAUCCCAUAUUCCCAUCCCUAUGAAUCGAAGUCCCAGCUUCGUUGCCGCCGCCGACGUACGAAGUCCUUCGUUGCCGCGAUCUCGUUCGAUCUCCCUGCCGCCGACCCUUCGUUGCCGCCGCCCACGUACGAUCCCCUGCGAUCCCACGUCCGGGAUCGCCACCACCGAUGUAAGGGAUCUUCGCCGCCAAUCUCCCACAGGAACGCCGCCGCCGCCGCCGACCUUCGAGGGGAGAUGCCGUCGCCGCCUGCGCUAAACCCGAGGCGCACGAUGAUGCAGGGGCGCGACCUGGCGACCGUCGGAGCAUGGCGGCGCCCGAUGUGGCGCGGGGUUGAGGAGCUACGAGGGGUGCAGCAGAUCCGGCUGGAGUUGUGCACGUGGUCUGGUGAUGGUGGCCUCCGCCUCCGGACCAGAAUCCGCCACCGCGACCUCUCAUCUAUGCGUCGAGCUCCUCUUCCCGUCUCUCUGGUAUCCGUUGGCGCAACUGCUGCCAUGGCCACAAGCCCGCAAUGAGGACCUCCGCCGCAGCCGUAGCCAUGUUGAGGAGGUCAGUAUUCUUCUGCUAGCUCCGUGCAUGGCAAGCAGGUUGGUUGGCGGCUUCCUUGAACAAGCAGGAACCAUUCCCAUCAGCAGAACAGAGUUUGUUGGCUUUAGCAUUCGGGUCAGUUAACCUAUUUAUGUUUAGGCAAUUCGUUCUCCCAUGUAACCAUUGAUACAAUUUGUAUGUCUUGCAACUCAUGCAGGGUGAGUCACCAAUAGGAAAAGAAAACAUCCGAUUCAGAUGCUAACCUAUGUUUAUUGCUGAUUUCACCUACCACCUGUGUUCAGGCAGAGAUGUAGCCAACCCUCUCUAAUUUUGUUCUUGGAAACCAUGAACGGCCACUGAUGGUGAUGAAAAAAAUAAAGAACGGAAGCAGCCAGACGGUCUUGAUAUUUGCACCAGUCUGUGUGUCGUCUCAGGGGACUGCAAGCACGAGGAGGGUGUCAAGCCCCGGUGCGGCACCAUCAACAACAACACCUCCCAGCUCCUCACUUACGGAUCAUCAUCGCCAUCUUCUAAAUCUUCCUCUUCCUGCCAAUGUAAUGCUCAGUUAGAUUAUACAAACUUAGCAAAUCUCUUUGGUAUACUGACGCGCUGAACAAGAACAUAAUGGUGCUGAAUAGUUCUCAAGAAUUUUUUCGUAUGAUAUGUAUAUACAGUAGCUGGUUCGUCACGUGGUGAACUGCUUUGUAAAUUUGUGAUAUUGUAUUAACUGACGCUGAUUGAUUGAGAGAUUGCAGGGGGUGUGGUCAGACAAAGUGCAGGAAUGGGAGGAGUGCGCCAAGAAUGAGACGGCGUGCCCUGACAUGUACAUAUGCUUGUUCUUUUUUUCAUUUUUUCAAAGGAAAAGGAAAAAAUGUUCACUAAUUAUUCGGUUGUGUAUAAUUAGGAGCGCUUAUUACCUCAAAAAAAUAGGAUCGUGUAACUGUUUAUUUAUGGUACAAAUUAUCAUUUGCCGUUCUAUAUUGCCACAAAAGUUUCUUGAAAAUCACAAAAAGAGGGCCAGUGAUGCUUAUGGGAAGAAGGAAAUAAAAGCACGUAAUGUGACCUACCAUUUUGUUCAUAUUCUUUGUAUUCUUUGAAGUAACUGCCUUUCAGAACUCGAGCGAAUGUGCCUGGAAAUGCAUCCACCCUUCCCUAAGGACGAAGUCCAACACUCCAACCCCGGCUGGUGUACGAUGGGAACAACAGGCUAUUUCAUCACAGACUCACGGUAACAUACUGAUUCUUCCUCUUUUUAAUCAACAGUUUUCCGUUCAUCGACGAGAAGGAGCUAUUUGCAUUCCUAAUUAUUGUGUGUGCGAGAAGUAAUUGAAGAACAAUACAUCAGCUAAUCUUAGUGAAUUUCAUAAUGCAUGACGACAAAUGCAACCAUUUUUAGAUAACAAGAUGCAUGUUGUUGCGGUACACAAAAUUGAGAACUAAUCCUACUUAAGAGAAGCAAAUUACAAGAUAGCAAGACAUGAACUACUUGAUGUAUAUCUGAACAGUAUUAUAGGAUGGACAAUUUAAAUCCAUUGCUGGACUUUUGGACCAAGCGAUAUAGGAUGUCCAAUAAAAAGCUUGACUGAAAUAAACUUUUGGCUCGGUGGUCUUUUGAGACCUAACUUACAAAUUGUAUAACUUUUGGCUCACUGAACUUGGUGUUUUUUUUGCAGCAUGAUGAUUUCAGAAGUACAGUUGAAACAUUCUUCUAUAUGUUACCCUCUGCUAUGAGACUGUACUGUUGAAACUGAGCAGCAAAACUUCAUUGAUAAUGCAUUGAUAUAUCUUAUUAGGAUUAUCGUGUCUCAUGUGUUAGCUUAUUAGUUAUGAUAGUGGAAAAUGGUUCGUUUAUUUAACCAACCAUCACACACCCAUUAUUCUGGUGUGUCCAUAUGCAUUUCUUCUUUCUUUAGGCUUGGAACUUUAUACAUGAAAAUAGAUGUUGGCCAGAGUUAGGGUUGCUCUACUAGGCACAUCUUAUUUCAAUGAGUAUCUAUAGUUUCAGCUCAUUAGCUUGUGAUUUUCUCUAAAAUAAAGUAUGGUACCAUGUCAUGUAAUGAAUGUAAUAUUGGUUGUUUUUUGUUGUUCCUUUCCUUAGACAUCUUUCCUCUUCAGUGAUUUACUGCAAAAGUAUUAUUGAUCUCCUAUGUCGAGUGUCGACAAAUAAGCAAUUUCAAUGCCUUUCCAGUGAUGAAUCUCAAUGAAGUGGAAGGAGAGAACAUGAUCUCGGUAAAGAUAUUGUACAAUUUUUUUUGUAGAGCAAUAGCAGAUUUUAUUGCUUAGUUUUUAUAUUCUCUUUCGAAUGUAUUUUUACGCAUUAUUGACUUGGAAUAGACGACAUCUCACAAUCAUGUUUGAAGUAACUCUACAAAAAUCAUAACAUGGUUGCCUGUUGUUGUCCAGUACAUUAUGUUCCAUUUUCUCCAUAAUUAUGCUCCCUUUAUGUGUGGUUCUAUUCUGUUUACCAUUUUUUUAAUUCAUUCAUCCAAUAUUUGUUCUCGGGUCAUUGUCUAUUCUAUGAGCAAUAGGACCAUAAGCCCUCCAUGGAUCUAAUCGUGGGUACUACUUUUUAUUGUUACCCAACUGACAAUAUCCUAACGAGCUAUACAUGGUAGCUAUUAUAUUCAAGCUCCCUGAGUUUUUCCAUUCGACCUUUAAAUGUGUGUUAUUUGUGGUAGAUGUAUCAUUCAAAAGAGUAUUGGUCAAGAUCGUACAUUGCACGUGCAAACUUAGUAACUUACUAGGCAAAAACACUUAGUCACAGUCGGAUCUUUGUACUGCAAAAAAAUGAUAGUUGGAUAAUUCAUGAUAAACGUGUAUUGAUGGCAAAAACAUUUAGCUAUCUAUACUUGCACUUAAUUUUUGGGUUAAUUGUAAAAAUUGGGGGGGGGGGGGUGGCGGGCAUGGUUCACCUAUAAAGAGGUAGCGUUUCAGACUCUCGCAUGAUGACAUACAGAAAAGUGUCUAGCUUUGUUGCAAGUCAGUUAAAUUUCAGGUUUCUUCUAGCGCUUCCGAUAAACAUGAGGAAGGACUCCCCACAAAAAAAAUUGAGAAGGAUUACUAUUGUUGUUCAUGGGAAAUUAUCUUCCUUCGACAUACACAGGCACUCAUGCAACCAUGAAAUUAUCUCUCUGACAAAGUACAUAUGUCAGCACGAGAAGUAUCUUUCUUAGGUGUGCAUUCGAAGUCUCUACUUAAUAAUGUUUUUUUAUGUCCCAACCUGAAUGAUGAGAGUCCGCAAGUGAAUUUUAUAAUAAUCCAUUUUAUAUUCUACUUACAAGUUCAAACAAUAACCCUAAUUUAUCAUGUAGUAAAUUAGUUGUACUACAUAUACUCCAUUUUUCUUAUGUACCUAGCUUGCUCAAUUUAAAUAAAGGACACCAUUUUGUUAAUUUUCUUGAGCUUUGAAAUCUAGAUUUAUUUGAUGGAAUAUGUUGCAAAUAAGAUAGGAAUGUGGAGGCGAAUGGAGUGAGUGCAAUAGGGGACAAGAUUGAUGGCGGGGAGAAGAGGUGCCACCCAAUGCUAUGGAGGGCCGGGAGAGUAUCAAGGGAAGUGAGGCUGUAGGGACAGGAGCGGAUGGGCUCCGCCAGUGGCGUGGAGAGGAGUGUUGCUGCCGUGGAGGGGAGAGGAGCUUGCGGUGAAGUUGUCGAGGGAAGGGAGGCGGCAAAAUUGAUGAAUCAUUUCAUGUUCGUUUUGCAGUAAUUUGUACAUAUUUAAGUUGAAGGGCCACCAUCUUACUAACAUAGGUCAAAAGGAUUUUGUUUGCCCACAUCCAGGUUGUGCUAAGGUAGGGAUUCACUAAGUUUCCAUUUGUAUAUAUUUAAGUUGAAGGGCCACCAUCUUACUAACACAGGUCAAAAGGAUUUUGUCUGCCCACAUCCAGGUUGUGCUAAGGUAGGGAUCACUAAGUUUCCAUUGCAUGAAAACAUAUUUGCUCCUAAUUCUCACCAUACAUCUUGAGUUCAUAGCUGCAGUGUUCUUCUAUCUAAUGAUGCUAUCAAUUGUACCCUGCCUAAUAUGUUUCAUUGAUUUGAUUAGAUGAAAUAGCAUGCCAAUUCUAUCUAACUGAAGAUGUUUCACUGAUUUGAUUACAUAUACUUUCCUCUGACGGGUGAUGGUGAUUCCCAACUCCUCCUGGACCUGUUUAUUGAUGGCUAUUUUUAAAGAAUCAUGAUGUGAUAUCGUCCUUUCAUUUGUUUCAUGGAUCUUUAUUGCAGCGGUUCAAGAACCUCGAAGAUGGCUACCUCUCCUUCCUCAAGAUCGUGGCGAGAACAAGAGGAUCAAAAGUUGAAGAUACAUCAGCCACUGCAUAUGGCGAGGGGGCUGGAGAAGAAGUGACCAAUACAACAUGAUGGGGGGCUUGUCGAUGAUGGACGAGAUGGUCUUGAUUCGGAGAAAAACAAGGACGACAACACAACAACGCAGGGGUUAAAGAGAGUAAGAGAAACAUGAGGGCAGGGGGACUUGAUGUUCCCGAUGGUUUGCGUGCUUUGCUGUUGUGUGUUUGUGCUUGAUGUGUUUGCAAAGGCACCUGAUUUUGUAUUGGCACAUCUAAAAGUUUUUAAAUUUUGUUUAGUAAAUUGGCCACACACUCGCAUCUUUUCUAACAAUUCUUGACCACCUCAAUACUGUUACUGAUAAAAUUAUAAGUAUUUGCUGAAA